UUGCCCGGGGAUGGGUCCCUGACACUUGGCGAAGUAGGAGCCCUGUGUGAUCGUGCGUCUGAGUCUGGGCUGAGACCAGUCCUGGCCAGGGCAGUUACCAGGACGGUCUCCGGAGGCCGGGAUUCGCGGAGGGUCCACCAGCAGGAAGAAACCCCAAGAGGAAGAAACCUCAGACAGAUCGCCGGCGAGGCAGCGCGGGAUCCCAGCCUCAGGCGUGCGCGGACGGUGUGCGGCGCACACAACCAAGCUUAGGAGCCGACUGUUAAGAUGCCCCAGUGACACGGACAAGUUUCUCCUCUGCAACCCAAUGAGAGCUGCUGACCACGAGAGCAUCGCGGGACCGCCAAAGGAUUCUGGAAAAUGUGGUCCCGGGUGGCCAGUGUGCGCUGACCUUCACCUGAAGGUGAGCUGAGCUCACCAUGCAAGUCUCCACCCUGGGGUGCCCUUCCCCAAGCAGAUGCCAGGUUGGGGCAGAAGCAGUUCAGGGAGAAGCGAUGCGCUCCUGGGACUGCCGGUUUGGGGGCAACAUCGGCCCUGUGUCCCCUAGAGUAGGAGGGUGUACCAGGAUGGGGAACCCCAAGGCCGUUUUCAGGGAGAACAAGAUUGGCUUGAGGCAAACUCCCGGAAUGGAGAUGGGGAGAGUCUGGUCGCAUUUCCCCAGGAGUUUAGGGGAUGAAGGCUGGACUUGGGUGAACAGCAAAAGAUCCCCUGGUGAUAGUGGUGGUGAGGAUCAGAGGCUUGAGCCAGAAAUUCCCGAGGUGUUUGUUUGUUUUGUUUUUUUUGAGACAGAGUCUUGAUCUGUCUCCCAGGAUGUAGUGCAAUGGCAUGCUCUUGGCUCAUUGCAACCUCCGCCUCCCAGGUUCAAGCGAUUCUCCUGCCUCAGCCUCCCAAGUAGCUGAGAUUAUAGGCACCUGCCACUGUGCCCACCUAAAUUUUUUUUGUUUUUUUGUAUUUUUAGUAGAGACGAUGUUUCACCACAUUGCCCAGCCUGGUCUCGAACUCCUGACCUCAAGUGAUCCACCUGCCUCGGCCUCCCAAAGUGCUGGGAUUACAGGCAUGAGCCCCCACACCCAGCUCAUUUUUAUCUUUUAACUUAAAGGUUUUUAUUUUUCUCUAUUUUUACUCUUACAGGUACGGCUUGAAGGAAACUUCUGGAGGGUGGGGUGGUGUUGAAGAGAAGGCACAAUUGUCACCAUUUUGUUCAACAUGGGCGUUUUCUUUGUGCAUUGAUUUGCAUUUUUAAAGGUAUUCCAUUAAAAAUAUGUUUAUCUAUUUUAA
rnacentral:lncRNA from 1 species